GCAGCACGUUGGCCCCGCCCCCAGUUCCACCCCGCCCCUCCGAGUCGCCGUCAGCUAGACUUUGGCCCCGCCUUCCCCACGGCUUUCCGGAGUCCGCUUAAAGGAGCCGCGCAGAGGAGAGUGCACAGGUUGCUCGGGCGGUAAAAGAAGGCAGGUGCGUGUCCUGAAAUGCAUGAAGUACAUCCUAGUGGAGUGUGCACACACAGAAGGAAGCAGCUACUCAGCCAUGCGGCGCUGUAACUCCCAGGAAGAAUCAAGGAUUUCUGCAGCAAGGAAAUUGGAUACGGAUGAGCACCAGGGAGGACACUGCUGGCCACUGAAGGGAAAGCCCAAUGUAGGCAGGAGGCCAGAAUGCGCCAACGCUUUCAGGGGAUACAAUGACACAUAAAGCACAGACAGUGAGACCUGAGAGGAAGAAGAUAAAAGGAAGGCUGUGGAACCAGUGUGUUAAGAAAUCUCAUAGCUGACAAUUUGCUAGCAAAGAACAGGAUGCCUACAAAAUUCGUUAAGUGUCAGAUUUCACAGCUUCCUCUGCUCUGCCUAAAAAGGAAAACUCACAUCUUCAAGCUGUUACAAUAAAACUAUUGGCAGUAUGUAAAGUGA